rnacentral:rRNA from 1 species
UAGGGAAUCUUCCACAAUGGACGCAAGUCUGAUGGAGCAACGCCGCGUGAGUGAAGAAGGCUUUCGGGUCGUAAAACUCUGUUAUUGAAGAAGAACGUGUGUGACAGUAACUGGUCAUGCAGUGACGGUAUUCAAUCAGAAAGUCACGGCUAACUACGUGCCAGCAGCCGCGGUAAUACGUAGGUGGCAAGCGUUGUCCGGAUUUAUUGGGCGUAAAGCGAGUGCAGGCGGUCUUUUAAGUCUGAUGUGAAAGCCUUCGGCUUAACCGAAGAAGGGCAUCGGAAACUGGGAGACUUGAGUGCAGAAGAGGAGAGUGGAACUCCAUGUGUAGCGGUGAAAUGCGUAGAUAUAUGGAAGAACACCAGUGGCGAAGGCGGCUCUCUGGUCUGUAACCGACGCUGAGGCUCGAAAGCGUGGGUAGCAAACAGGAUUAGAUACCCUGGUAGUCCACGCCGUAAGCGAUGAAUACUAAGUGUUGGAGGGUUUCCG